GAAGAUUAAUACAAGAUGGCAUCAUGAGUCCGCAUGUUCACAUGAUUAAAG
rnacentral:rRNA from 1 species